ensembl:snRNA U1 U1 spliceosomal RNA
ACACUUACCUGGCAGGGGCCACACCGUGAUCAUGAAGGUGGUUUUUCCACGGCGAGGCUCACCCAUUGCACUCGGGAUGUGCUGCCCCUGUGAUUUACUCAAAUGUGGGAAACUCGAUGGCAUAAUUUGUGCUGGGGGGGACUGCAUUCACACUUUCUCCUG